rnacentral:rRNA from 1 species
ACAAUGGAGAGUUUGAUCCUGGCUCAGGACGAACGCUGGCGGCGGGCUUAACACAUGCAAGUCGAAGGAGAAGGAAGGAGCUUGCUCUUUCUGGAGACUGGCGGACGGGUGAGUAACGCGUAGCCAACCUGCCUUUAGCUGGGGGAUAACAUUCCGAAAGGGGUGCUAAUACCGCAUAAUGCAGCGGGGCCGCAUGGCCACAGUUGUUAAAGGUUUCGACCGGCUAAAGAGGGGGCUGCGUGCUAUUAGUUAGUUGGUGAGGUAACGGCUCACCAAGGCGAUGAUAGCUAGGGGGUCUGAG